AAUAAAUGUAGUUUUGUAUUGGUCAUAUCUAACGUUUGAUUAUUCGUUAAAUUUUUUAUGAUUAGUAUUUUUUUAUUGUUAUUAGAUGAUAAAACAUGAAUGUACUUUAUGUGGGACUAUUUUUUUUAAAAAACAUAUUUUUUAAAUAAGACGGAUGAUCAAAUAUUGGAGUCAGAUAUUCACGGAUACGUUUAUU
rnacentral:pre_miRNA from 1 species